AGGAUAUUAGUUAAUUCUAUAACAUUUAAUUUGCAAUUAAAAAUCAUAUAAUCAAUUCAAAUAUAUAUAUAUCUUA
rnacentral:tRNA from 1 species